rnacentral:rRNA from 1 species
GAUGAACGCUGGCGGCGUGCCUAAUACAUGCAAGUAGAACGCUGAAGCUUGGUGCUUGCACCGAGCGGAUGAGUUGCGAACGGGUGAGUAACGCGUAGGUAACCUGCCUGGUAGCGGGGGAUAACUAUUGGAAACGAUAGCUAAUACCGCAUAACAGUCGACAUUGCAUGAUGUUGAUUUGAAAGGGGCAAAUGCUCCACUACCAGAUGGACCUGCGUUGUAUUAGCUAGUUGGUGAGGUAACGGCUCACCAAGGCGACGAUACAUAGCCGACCUGAGAGGGUGAUCGGCCACACUGGGACUGAGACACGGCCCAGACUCCUACGGGAGGCAGCAGUAGGGAAUCUUCGGCAAUGGACGGAAGUCUGACCGAGCAACGCCGCGUGAGUGAAGAAGGUUUUCGGAUCGUAAAGCUCUGUUGUAAGAGAAGAACGAGUGUGAGAGUGGAAAGU